GUUGCCAUUCAUCUCCGCCGCUCAAAUAUCUGUCGCGUUCAUCUCCAUCUAGGCUUCUGAAACUCAAUUUGAAAGGUAAACAAGUAAUGGCAACUUCAUCAUCGUUAAUUUCAAUACAAGAUAAAAAAGAGAAGCAGCUUGCAAGUUUAAAGCAGCCUCAAGUUUAAAAGCACUCGUGGACCUUCAGUUAGAUUGUGAAAAAAAGGCGUUAAUGAAAAAAUCUGUUUUCUACAAUUUGUUACAAGUUACAUAUAGAAGAGAGAGCUCUGCCUCUUUAAUUUCCCUUUUUUGUGAAGUCUAUGACCCGGUAAAAAAAAGCUUUGUGUUCAACAAUAACGUGUCCUUUUCUUUCUGUGCUGAAGAGGUUGCUGAAGUCCUCGGUAUUAAAAAUACCGGGAAUAGUUUAGAAUACACUGCUGCAGAAAGAUUUCCGGAGUUUGUUUAUGAGUUGAAAGAAAAUUUUGAUCCUGA